GUUGGGUAACGGCCUACCAAGCCUACGAUCCAUAGCUGGUUUUAGAGGACGAUCAGCAACACUGGGACUGAGACACGGCCCAGACUCCUACGGGAGGCAGCAGUGGGGAAUCUUAGACAAUGGGCGAAGCUUGAUCUAGCCAUGCCGCGUGAGUGACGAGGUCUUAGGAUCGUAAAGCUCUUUCGCCAGAGAUGAUA
rnacentral:rRNA from 1 species